rnacentral:rRNA from 1 species
CCUACGGGUGGCAGCAGUGGGGAAUAUUGGACAAUGGGCGAAAGCCUGAUCCAGCCAUGCCGCGUGUGUGAAGAAGGCCUUCGGGUUGUAAAGCACUUUCAGUGGGGAAGAAAGCCUUGGGGCUAAUACCCUCGAGGAAGGACAUCACCCACAGAAGAAGCACCGGCUAACUCCGUGCCAGCAGCCGCGGUAAUACGGAGGGUGCGAGCGUUAAUCGGAAUUACUGGGCGUAAAGCGCGCGUAGGCGGUCUGAUAAGCCGGUUGUGAAAGCCCCGGGCUCAACCUGGGAACGGCAUCCGGAACUGUCGGGCUAGAGUGCAGGAGAGGAAGGUAGAAUUCCCGGUGUAGCGGUGAAAUGCGUAGAGAUCGGGAGGAAUACCAGUGGCGAAGGCGGCCUUCUGGACUGACACUGACGCUGAGGUGCGAAAGCGUGGGUAGCAAACAGGAUUAGAUACCCUGGUAGUC